UCCCGCUCGCACAGUCUGAGGCCUCCCCAUACCAGCUUCUAAUAAGGCUUCCAAAAACGAAACCGAGAGAGGCUCCGCCACUUCUGAAAGACAAGAGGAGCCACCAUGGCACUCGCACUUCUGAUCCAAUACCCACUUCCCGCCCAGCGCCUCUUGCGCGCGCCACAAGGGCGCCCAGCCCACCAAGCCGGUCUCGGGCCCCAGAGGAGGCCUCCAGAGAGCCCCUUACCUCCCGCCAGGGCGCUUGAGGCCGUUCUACUACAAAAGGAAGAGUGGCACAUGUGGCACCUGGUCAGGAUGGACUCACUAAAGGAUUUAACCCAGACUUCUGAUGAACAAAUAUUGCUGCUACAUUAACUGAUUCACAACAAAGAAAUAAAAUAUCAUCCCGUUGAUUUUAUUAUUUAAACAUGGGCUCAAUCUUAAAUGUGACAAACCAAGAAAUAAAUAUGUCUGAAAAGUAAACAGUAAAUGGCCAAAUGGUAUGGCUGAGGCAUCUGUAGUGAACUCAUGCUGCUUCCUGGAGAUCACUGCAUUCUUUUCUGGGCUCAGUAAUCUACCUAAACUAUGUCAGAGAUUUGUCUGAGAUUUACUUUCCUGUCUUUUCUGGCUCAGAUUAUUUCUUUAUUUAGAAAAUCAGAACAUUUGCUUGUUUUUAGGGCUCAAGUACCUCUUCUCAUCUCUAUAAUGUCUCCAAAUGUCUCAGAGGAUUCCUAAUAGUAUCUGUAUUUCUUGCAUAUUAUGGUGUAAUUUAUCUGUGUCUAGAGAUCCGAAGUCAGGCAAAGUAGUUAAGGUACUCUUUCUUCUUACUUACAUAUCUUAAGACACAGUUCUCUGUCCUUGUGGUUUGUCUGACCCUCUUGGGUUCCUGUUAUGCUUCCAUUUGUACCAGAAAACACUGGAAAUCAAGUGAAAUUAAGUGUAAAAGUCAGAACUAGAAAAGCUUUUAGAUCAAGUCCAGAUAAAGAAAUGAGAGGGAUUUAAUCUGCCCUCUUCCUUACUAAGACAAGUACAUGAGGCUAGAUCCAAGAUAAAACUAUGAUUCAAUUGAAUCACUAACUCCCCUUGUUCUGAGUCUAUGCUUAUGUGCAGCAGACUUUUGAUAGUAAUUUCACUUUCUAUAUAGAUCUGCCUGUAGAUAAAAAUAUAUAUACUUAUCGGAAGAUCUGAGACCCUAGUUAUAAGUUAAUAGAUGAACUUCCUGGUUUAUACCUCAGAGCUUGUUAGUGGAUGUUCAUCUGAGAGAAGGAGGGGAUAGGAGAGAGGGAGAGAUCAUCCACUACCAUUAUGCUGCUGAAUCAGGUUCCUGAGGGAUAGUGCCUGGAACAUGGAGAUCACACCAGGGUACUAUCCCUUCGAGGCCUCUUUUGGCACCUAGCAACCCUUCUCCAUAGUGUACCUUGACUCCAUCUUGUUGCUAGUUGUCCACAAAUGCCUGCUUCGUGAGACAGUCCACCUCUUGGUUCAUAAGGCCAGUCAUAAACACAGACACUUCUCAAGAGGCUGUUACUGAACAAUAGGUUUCUUUCUUGUUUUUGUUUUUUUUGUUUUGCUUUGUUUUGUUUUGUUGUGUUGUGUUGUGUUGUUUUGAGACAGAGUCUCGCUCUUUUGCCCAGAUUGGAGUGCAGUGGCACGAUCUUGGCUCACUACAACCUUCACCUCCUGGGUUCAAGCAAUUCUCCUGCCUCAGCCUCCCGAGUACCUGGGAUUACAGGCGCCCUCCACCACAUCGAGCUAAUUUUUUUUUUUUUUUGUAUUUUCGGUAGAGACAGAGUUUCACCAUGUUGAUCUGGCUGGUUUUGAACUCCUGACCUCAAGUGGUCUGACCCUCCUUGGCCUCCCAAAGUGCCAGAAUUACAGGUGUGAGCCACCGUACCCCAUUGGUCUUUUCUUCCUAGAGGCAAAAUGCUGAAUCCUUCCACCUGUUAACCCUGUAAAUCUUGUGAAAUACUCCUUGGAACAAAGACUGUUGUUUCUUCUUUAGAUGUAUGACAUGAAAAUCUAUUUUUAUAGCCUUGCAGUGAAAUAUACAGCUAUGUGGAAAGCUUCAGGAAUAAAAAAAAAUUAUGAUAGACUUCAUUUAAAACUUUUUAGGAAUUCUUUAAAUAAUGAUAACUAAUUGGAGAAUUUGAUACAUGUUUCAAGGCUGAAACCUGGGCCUUUACAGCAACCAGAAAACAGACUGAAAAUGCCUAAAAGCUCUAACACCCACUAAAAAAAAUGCUUCAAAAUUAUACUUAUUGAAAAAUACUAUUUGGAACUAUAUCAUGAAGGAAUCAUCAGAAAAUAAAGUAGCUUGGCAAUUUUUAGUUACUCUCCAACUAAAAACAUCUGUUUAAUGAACUUUGAAAUGAUUUCGUAUUUGUGUUUAAAAAAUUUGCAUCUCUAUCUAGGUUGACAGCUUAAAUACCUGGCUCUAGCCAAACAAAAUCUGAAGUGACUAAGGCAUUGCUUCUUAAAUAAGAGCAAGUUGGAACUGCCAUCUCAAAUCACUACCAUGUCUUCUGGCAAGACAAGAUUAGCACUUACACUCACAUCUGAUGAGGGAGUCACCUCAAGCUUGUAAACAGCCAGUUUGGAUUACCCAGCAAGGGCAGGGUGAAACCAGCAAAGGGUUCCCAGGCCUCUGUUCUUUAGCCAGCCUGUAUAGAAUGGAGAAUUUUGAAGAGGUGAUGUGUUCAACACUUGGAUACAUUUAAGAAGACAGCUUGAGUCUAGUUUCUUUUGUCUCUAGGCCAGCUCAGAAUAACCAGGCACAUACCCUCACUGACCUCUAAAGGUAACACUGUUAAAGUGAGAGUCUUUUUUUUUUUUUGAGAGAGAGUCUUGCUCUGUUGCCAUGUUGGUGUGCAGUGGCGCAAUCUCAGCUCACUGCAACUUCCGCCUCCUGGGUUCAAGAGAUUCUUCCGCCUCAGCCUUCUGAGUAGCUGGGACUACAGGCGCGUGCCACCACACCCCGCUAAUUUUUGUAUUUUUAGUAGAGACGGGGUUUCAUCAUGGCAAGGAUGGUCUCGAUCUCUUGACCUUGUGAUCUGCCCGCCUCCACCUCCCAAAGUGCUGGGAUUAGAGGCGUGAGCCACCACGCCCGGCCAAAGUGAGAGUCUUACUGGCUCUUGCUUGACAUCUCUUUGUCUCUUUCUGCUACCCGACUUUGGUUCUGCUUCUGGCCCUUUGGAAUUGGUGUUUGAACUUAGUCUCUGUUCUUUAGGUCCUGGAUUUUCCUAACAGAUUCCAAUUGGGUUUAUCUUGCUUUUUGUGUCUAUGGCUGACUAUGAGCUAGACUACCCUCAUUCUUGCUUUUCUGAGGCUAACUUUCAGCAUACUCCACUUAGCUGGCUGGUUCUUCUCUGUGUCUGUAAGAGUACAUGUGAGUGUUUGGUGGGGAGUGGAAUAGGAUGUAUGCUCAAUUUGAAUCGUCACUCACUAAAAUGUGAGAGAGAGAGAGAGAGAGAGAGAGAAAGAAAGAGAGAGAGAUAUCUAACCAUGGGGAGUAGGAAGUAAUGCAAUUGCUUCUCCAUAUUGACCAUCCUUAAUUAGGUAUUUAGUUCCCUCCCAAGUAUUUUUUCUCAGCCCUCAGAUCCUGCUGCCACCUGGUGCUAAAAUGUUCCAAGUAGUGAUGACUAAAUAGUUUGACAAACUCCAGAAAGUAUCACCUAGAUUCAGAGAUAACACAUACUGAUUAGGAGGCUGAAUAUUUAACGUAAUAAAUAAAAGAUAUAACAUUUAAAAAAUAACAAUAGCUUAGCAUAAUAAAUAAUGUGUUAUACCUAUGAACUAAUAUAUAAGAUGUAAUAAUAGCAAAUUACUGUGUGGUUCUGAGAUAUCACCAUCUCUUAGAAGUAUGGUCCAUGUCAGGGUUGGGCAUGGUGGCUCACACUUGUAAUCCCAGCACUUUGGGAGGCUAAGAUGGGCAGAUCACCUGAGGUCAGGAGUUCGAGACCAGCCUGACCAACAUGGUGAAAACUGUCUCUACUUAAAAAAAUGUAAAAAAUUAGCUGGGCAUGGUGUUGCAUGCCUAUAGUCCCAGCUACUCAGGAGACUGAGGUAGGAGAAUCACUUGAACCCAAGAGGCAGAGGUUGCAGUGAGCUGAGAUCAAGUCACUGCACUCCAGCCUGGGCAACAGAGUGAGACUCUUCUCAAAAAAAGAAAGGGAUAGAGAGACAGAAAGAGGAAAGGAAGGAGGGAGGGAAGGAGGGAGGGAGGGAGGGAAGCAAAGGAAGGAAGGAAGGAAGGAGGAAAGGAGGG
rnacentral:lncRNA from 1 species